UGGAGUCAGUUUGGUUAUGGCCAAAUGUAACAUAGACCUCUGAGCUAUUAUCAGGAUAAAAAAAAAUUUGAAAACAAAAACUGCAUGAGCAUUAAUAGCGAAAGUACAUUUUUGUACACUCAAAUCAGCCUGGCAACACUGUCAUUAGAAAUUGGUAGUCCCUGAACAAAAGCUAGUUGGAGUUGCUAAUCCUGACAAUGACAAUGAAAAACUGAUCAUUUACUUGCUUAUCCCUCCCACCCAAAAUAGAAAACUACUGGCUGCUUUAAAUGACAUUUCAUCAGAUUGGGCAAAAUCCUGCCAAUCUUCAUCAGGUCAGAGCUUGCAAGGCCUCCAUGUGAAGAGUUAAAUGGGAAACUUAUGCUCGAGAGCUUGCACUAUCAAUAUCUGAGUCCUUAAUCUAGUGAAACACCCAUUGACUUCAAUGAGCAUUUUACCUGAGUCAGACUGAUGGAUUGGGCCCAUGUAUUUUGGCCUAGAACUCUAACUGCAAUAAACCAAACGUACAGAAUGAAAACGUCAUUUUUAUAUAUUGUUGGGCUAGACACGAUAAAUUGAUCCCUGAAAGUGCUCCCGUCAAUUCUGGAACUCCACCAGGGCAAGAGGCGGAAGCAGAGUCGACGGGGGACCCGCGGCCAUCAAUCCCAUGCCAUGAGGAUGAGAGGAGCCUUAGGCGUGUCAAUCCAUAUUGUGUCUCUCUGUUAAGCCCUGAGCUCUCCUUCUCUCCAUCCUGAGCAGCAGAGCUGUAGUAUUUCCACUGCAUUUCAGGCCGUGGAUACUCACAGAUUGGAGUGGAGAAUUUUGUCCUAAAUAUGUACCAUAUAAAGUUUCACUCGACUGCCCCUCAAAAUCCCUCUGGAUUGGGAGAAGCAAGGAUCCCUGAAUAGCCUGCUAUGGUGGAAAAGGCCAUCUGAUGCCCCUUCAAGACCAGAAAGGGAGCCACCAGGAAGCAGGAGUGGUAGAAAUGCCUCACUCCCAUGGAUGACAAAG